rnacentral:rRNA from 1 species
GACGAACGCUGGCGGCGUGCUUAACACAUGCAAGUCGAACGGAAAGGCCCUGCUUUUGUGGGGUGCUCGAGUGGCGAACGGGUGAGUAACACGUGAGUAACCUGCCCUUGACUUUGGGAUAACUUCAGGAAACUGGGGCUAAUACCGGAUAGGAGCUCCUGCUGCAUGGUGGGGGUUGGAAAGUUUCGGCGGUUGGGGAUGGACUCGCGGCUUAUCAGCUUGUUGGUGGGGUAGUGGCUUACCAAGGCUUUGACGGGUAGCCGGCCUGAGAGGGUGACCGGCCACAUUGGGACUGAGAUACGGCCCAGACUCCUACGGGAGGCAGCAGUGGGGAAUAUUGCACAAUGGGCGGAAGCCUGAUGCAGCAACGCCGCGUGCGGGAUGACGGCCUUCGGGUUGUAAACCGCUUUCGCCUGUGACGAAGCGUGAGUGACGGUAAUGGGUAAAGAAGCACCGGCUAACUACGUGCCAGCAGCCGCGGUGAUACGUAGGGUGCGAGCGUUGUCCGGAUUUAUUGGGCGUAAAGGGCUCGUAGGUGGUUGAUCGCGUCGGAAGUGUAAUCUUGGGGCUUAACCCUGAGCGUGCUUUCGAUACGGGUUGACUUGAGGAAGGUAGGGGAGAAUGGAAUUCCUGGUGGAGCGGUGGAAUGCGCAGAUAUCAGGAGGAACACCAGUGGCGAAGGCGGUUCUCUGGGCCUUUCCUGACGCUGAGGUGCGAAAGCGUGGGGAGCGAACAGGCUUAGAUACCCUGGUAGUCCACGCUGUAAACGGUGGGUACUAGGUGUGGGGUCCAUUCCACGGGUUCCGUGCCGUAGCUAACGCUUUAAGUACCCCGCCUGGGGAGUACGGCCGCAAGGCUAAAACUCAAAGGAAUUGACGGGGCCCCGCACAAGCGGCGGAGCAUGCGGAUUAAUUCGAUGCAACGCGUAGAACCUUACCUGGGUUUGACAUGGAUCGGGAGUGCUCAGAGAUGGGUGUGCCUCUUUUGGGGUCGGUUCACAGGUGGUGCAUGGCUGUCGUCAGCUCGUGUCGUGAGACGUUGGGUUAAGUCCCGCAACGAGCGCAACCCUUGUUCACUGUUGCCAGCACGUUAUGGUGGGGACUCAGUGGAGACCGCCGGGGUCAACUCGGAGGAAGGUGGGGAUGACGUCAAGUCAUCAUGCCCCUUAUGUCCAGGGCUUCACGCAUGCUACAAUGGCUGGUACAGAGAGUGGCGAGCCUGUGAGGGUGAGCGAAUCUCGGAAAGCCGGUCUCAGUUCGGAUUGGGGUCUGCAACUCGACCUCAUGAAGUCGGAGUCGCUAGUAAUCGCAGAUCAGCAACGCUGCGGUGAAUACGUUCCCGGGGCU